CGAACGGGUGAGUAACGCGUGAGGAACCUGCCUCAAAGAGGGGGACAACAGUUGGAAACGACUGCUAAUACCGCAUAAGCCCACGGGUCGGCAUCGAUCUGAGGGAAAAGGAGUGAUCCGCUUUGAGAUGGCCUCGCGUCCGAUUAGCUAGUUGGUGAGGUAACGGCCCACCAAGGCGACGAUCAGUAGCCGACCUGAGAGGGUGACCGGCCACAUUGGGACUGAGACACGGCCCAA
rnacentral:rRNA from 1 species